rnacentral:rRNA from 1 species
GAGACCGGCGCACGGGUGCGUAACGCGUAUGCAACCUACCUUUUACAGAGGGAUAGCCCAGAGAAAUUUGGAUUAAUACCUCAUGGUAUAUAUCAUUCGCAUGUUUGAUAUAUUAAAGUUCCAACGGUAAAAGAUGGGCAUGCGUCCUAUUAGCUAGAUGGUAAGGUAACGGCUUACCAUGGCAACGAUAGGUAGGGGUCCUGAGAGGGAGAUCCCCCACACUGGUACUGAGACACGGACCAGACUCCUACGGGAGGCAGCAGUGAGGAAUAUUGGACAAUGGGCGCAAGCCUGAUCCAGUCAUGCCGCGUGCAGGAAGAAGCAUCUAUGGUGUGUAAACUGCUUUUGUACGGGAAGAAACACUCCUUCGUGAAGGAGCUUGACGGUACCGUAAGAAUAAGGAUCGGCUAACUCCGUGCCAGCAGCCGCGGUAAUACGGAGGAUCCAAGCGUUAUCCGGAAUCAUUGGGUUUAAAGGGUCCGUAGGCGGUUUGGUAAGUCAGUGGUGAAAGCCCGCAGCUCAACUGUGGAACGGCCAUUGAUACUGCCAGACUUGAAUUACAAGGAAGUAACUAGAAUAUGUAGUGUAGCGGUGAAAUGCUUAGAUAUUACAUGGAAUACCAAUUGCGAAGGCAGGUUACUACUUGUGGAUUGACGCUGAUGGACGAAAGCGUGGGGAGCGAACAGGAUUAGAUACCCUGGUAGUCCACGCCGUAAACGAUGGAUACUAGCUGUUGGGGGCAACUUCAGUGGCUAAGCGA